rnacentral:lncRNA from 1 species
CUUUCCCGCGCGACCGGCGAGGGAGGAAGAAGCGCGAAGAGCCGUUAAUCAUGCCGGUGUGGUGGCGGCGGCGGAGCCUGCGGGCCGGUAGCUGGGCUCUGCAAGGUGAAAGAAAGCCUUUGAGGUGAAGAUGUAUGAAGGUCAUCAUAACAAAUGUUUUCCAAAAACUUGCAGAAGGCUGUGAAAACUACUAGGAUCACGCGGCAUGUAUUGAGGUGUGGCAUGCAGCAUUUUGGAAGGAAAAUUGAAGACUUGUUCAAGAAAACAUGAACAGAAGCAAAUGAUGAAAAUGAGCAUUUUACUUGAUGUUGAUAACAUCACAAUAAAUUAUGGAGAAAAAUACAUAUUUGGCUAACUUUUAAUUGCUGAACAAUAAAGUAUUUUCUUUUAAAUCAACUCUAAAUAGCUCCAUUCUCAUAGUCACUACUCAGACCUGUUUUGAACAUAUUCGAAAGAUUAUAAUCUUGUCAAUAAUUAGCUUAUUUAUGGGUGGUGAUUCUCAUUGAGGCUGACAGCUGGGGAGACACUGCUUGUACCUCUAGGUUCCCUGUCUGGCUUCUGCUUCAGAGCCUGCUGUUGUACCAGGUGGUUGGAAUCUUAAAACUCUAAUAACAAAUAGCAAUCAAAUUCCUCCUUACAGAUAAA